GGCUGAUUUCGUGGGGAGCAAGGGGGGAGGAGAUUUCCGCGAAAACUUGACCAAUCUUCGUGCAGUUCGUCCCUACUUCUAGGUAUCGAGGUUCGCAAUUUUCAUGCCCAACUUCUACUCACGAAGGCGAUGGAGAUCCUUCCGCCGAGGCAUAGCUACUCGAGUUGGAGAUCGAGUUGUAAGCGGUGGAGUAGAGGUAUGAGAAGCAGCUUUGCUUCUCUUCUUGUGGAUUAUGUUGGAGUCUCUUUUACUUUAUGAGAACUCUGUUAUUAAAGUCUUGCUUCCGCCACUGUUAAAGUGCGCAUGUUUAUUCUGAACCUUACUUAUGGUAUUGUAAACUAUUAUUACUGUAUAUCGGGAAACAAGUUAUCUAAAUAAAGUUAUGGUAUGUUUCCAACCUUUUAGCCGAAGUGUUUAGUUGUUUUACAGAAAAAAAAUUCCCUUGGUUUUUAGGGAUUGCAGAUUGGUCCUUAGACUUUGUUAGGUUACUAAUGUGACUCCUCAGUUGAGUAAUUGGGGUGUUACAACUAGGUUCUUAUAAUGGGGGUUGCUUUGAAAGUGUUGAUACUGUUGAAAAGGUUUAUUAAUUGACCAAUUGUUAAUGUUGCUAUUCUCUUAUCCCAUGUUAGGAAAUAUAUCAGUUUAAAGUUUAAGGGAAUGAGGUAUUUUUUGUGAAUAGUUCAGCAUAAUAAAAUCGAAGCUGAGAAGGUUUUUCUCAAAGCAAUCCAAAGUUGAUAUCUAGUGCCCUGGCUGUUUCAGGUCAUGAAAUCUGUGGU